GAUGAACGCUGGCGGCGUGCUUAACACAUGCAAGUCGAACGGUAAGGCUCCAGCUUGCUGGGGUACACGAGUGGCGAACGGGUGAGUAACACGUGGGUGACCUGCCCUGCACUUCGGGAUAAGCCUGGGGAACUGGGUCUAAUACCGGAGAGGACCAUGGUGUGGAUACUGUGGUGGAAAGUUUUUUCGGUGUGGGAUGGGCCCGCGGCCUAUCAGCUUGUUGGUGGGGUAAUGGCCUACCAAGGCGGCGACGGGUAGCCGGCCUGAGAGGGUGGACGGGCACAAUGGGCCUGAGACACGGCGCAGACUCCAACGGGAGGCAGCGGUGGAGAGUAUUGCGCAGUGGGGGGGAGCCUGAUGCAGCGACGCCGCGUGGGGGAUGACGGCCUUCGGGUUGUGAACUCCUUUCUCCGUCGACGAAGAGUUUCUGACGGUAGAUGAAGAAGAAGCAACGGCUAACUACGUG
rnacentral:rRNA from 1 species